UUAGNAUACCCUGGUAGUCCACGCCCCUAAAACGAUGUCAAUNAGUUGUNGGGUCUUCAUUGAACUUGGUAACGUAGCUAACGCGUGAAGUUGACCGCCNUGGGGAGUACGGUCGCAAGAUUAAAACUCAAAGGAAUUGACGGGGACCCGCACAAGCGGUGGAUGAUGUGGAUUAAUUCGAUGCAACGCGAAAAACCUUACCUGCCCUUGACAUGGUAGGAACCUGCUGAAAGGUGGGGGUGCUGGAAAGAGAACCGAUACACAGGUGAUGCAUGACG
rnacentral:rRNA from 1 species